rnacentral:rRNA from 1 species
UUAAGCGACUAAGCGUACACGGUGGAUGCCCUGGCAGUCAGAGGCGAUGAAGGACGUGCUAAUCUGCGAUAAGCGUCGGUAAGGUGAUAUGAACCGUUAUAACCGGCGAUUUCCGAAUGGGGAAACCCAGUGUGUUUCGACACACUAUCAUUAACUGAAUCCAUAGGUUAAUGAGGCGAACCGGGGGAACUGAAACAUCUAAGUACCCCGAGGAAAAGAAAUCAACCGAGAUUCCCCCAGUAGCGGCGAGCGAACGGGGAGCAGCCCAGAGCCUGAAUCAGUAUGUGUGUUAGUGGAAGCGUCUGGAAAGGCGCGCGAUACAGGGUGACAGCCCCGUACACAAAAAUGCACAUAUUGUGAGCUCGAUGAGUAGGGCGGGACACGUGGUAUCCUGUCUGAAUAUGGGGGGACCAUCCUCCAAGGCUAAAUACUCCUGACUGACCGAUAGUGAACCAGUACCGUGAGGGAAAGGCGAAAAGAACCCCGGCGAGGGGAGUGAAAAAGAACCUGAAACCGUGUACGUACAAGCAGUGGGAGCACGCUUAGGCGUGUGACUGCGUACCUUUUGUAUAAUGGGUCAGCGACUUAUAUUCUGUAGCAAGGUUAACCGAAUAGGGGAGCCGAAGGGAAACCGAGUCUUAACUGGGCGUUAAGUUGCAGGGUAUAGACCCGAAACCCGGUGAUCUAGCCAUGGGCAGGUUGAAGGUUGGGUAACACUAACUGGAGGACCGAACCGACUAAUGUUGAAAAAUUAGCGGAUGACUUGUGGCUGGGGGUGAAAGGCCAAUCAAACCGGGAGAUAGCUGGUUCUCCCCGAAAGCUAUUUAGGUAGCGCCUCGUGAAUUCAUCUCCGGGGGUAGAGCACUGUUUCGGCAAGGGGGUCAUCCCGACUUACCAACCCGAUGCAAACUGCGAAUACCGGAGAAUGUUAUCACGGGAGACACACGGCGGGUGCUAACGUCCGUCGUGAAGAGGGAAACAACCCAGACCGCCAGCUAAGGUCCCAAAGUCAUGGUUAAGUGGGAAACGAUGUGGGAAGGCCCAGACAGCCAGGAUGUUGGCUUAGAAGCAGCCAUCAUUUAAAGAAAGCGUAAUAGCUCACUGGUCGAGUCGGCCUGCGCGGAAGAUGUAACGGGGCUAAACCAUGCACCGAAGCUGCGGCAGCGACNNGUUGUUGGGUAGGGGAGCGUUCUGUAAGCCUGUGAAGGUGUGCUGUGAGGCAUGCUGGAGGUAUCAGAAGUGCGAAUGCUGACAUAAGUAACGAUAAAGCGGGUGAAAAGCCCGCUCGCCGGAAGACCAAGGGUUCCUGUCCAACGUUAAUCGGGGCAGGGUGAGUCGACCCCUAAGGCGAGGCCGAAAGGCGUAGUCGAUGGGAAACAGGUUAAUAUUCCUGUACUUGGUGUUACUGCGAAGGGGGGACGGAGAAGGCUAUGUUGGCCGGGCGACGGUUGUCCCGGUUUAAGCGUGUAGGCUGGUUUUCCAGGCAAAUCCGGAAAAUCAAGGCUGAGGCGUGAUGACGAGGCACUACGGUGCUGAAGCAACAAAUGCCCUGCUUCCAGGAAAAGCCUCUAAGCAUCAGGUAACAUCAAAUCGUACCCCAAACCGACACAGGUGGUCAGGUAGAGAAUACCAAGGCGCUUGAGAGAACUCGGGUGAAGGAACUAGGCAAAAUGGUGCCGUAACUUCGGGAGAAGGCACGCUGAUAUGUAGGUGAAGUCCCUCGCGGAUGGAGCUGAAAUCAGUCGAAGAUACCAGCUGGCUGCAACUGUUUAUUAAAAACACAGCACUGUGCAAACACGAAAGUGGACGUAUACGGUGUGACGCCUGCCCGGUGCCGGAAGGUUAAUUGAUGGGGUCAGCGCAAGCGAAGCUCUUGAUCGAAGCCCCGGUAAACGGCGGCCGUAACUAUAACGGUCCUAAGGUAGCGAAAUUCCUUGUCGGGUAAGUUCCGACCUGCACGAAUGGCGUAAUGAUGGCCAGGCUGUCUCCACCCGAGACUCAGUGAAAUUGAACUCGCUGUGAAGAUGCAGUGUACCCGCGGCAAGACGGAAAGACCCCGUGAACCUUUACUAUAGCUUGACACUGAACAUUGAGCCUUGAUGUGUAGGAUAGGUGGGAGGCUUUGAAGUGUGGACGCCAGUCUGCAUGGAGCCGACCUUGAAAUACCACCCUUUAAUGUUUGAUGUUCUAACGUUGACCCGUAAUCCGGGUUGCGGACAGUGUCUGGUGGGUAGUUUGACUGGGGCGGUCUCCUCUUAAAGAGUAACGGAGGAGCACGAAGGUUGGCUAAUCCUGGUCGGACAUCAGGAGGUUAGUGCAAUGGCAUAAGCCAGCUUGACUGCGAGCGUGACGGCGCGAGCAGGUGCGAAAGCAGGUCAUAGUGAUCCGGUGGUUCUGAAUGGAAGGGCCAUCGCUCAACGGAUAAAAGGUACUCCGGGGAUAACAGGCUGAUACCGCCCAAGAGUUCAUAUCGACGGCGGUGUUUGGCACCUCGAUGUCG